rfam:Oxytricha trifallax strain JRB310 Contig15672.0 macronuclear, whole genome shotgun sequence.
GGUCCUAUGGUGUAGUGGUAUCACUAAGGACUCUGAAUCCUUCAACCCGAGUUCGAAUCUCGGUAGGACCU